GAUAGGAUGGAAGCAGAUGAAGUUGACGAACGUGUGUCGUAUUCAAAAUCGCUGUCAGCGGUUUGUUUUUACGGCCGAUGUGGGCCGGCGGCUUUGGUCAAUGCAACGCGUCUAGCGUCGAUGGUGACCCUGCGGAGGGACAAUCAGUCGUCGUACGGUGCUUGGUAUGGCUAAGGUUUCGCCGGUCUUAAAGUCAGCGCCUCAUCUGACCCGUCUUGAAACACGGACCAAGGAGUGUAGCGUUUGCGCAAGUCUUAGAGUGUAUCGAAACUUUGAGGCGUAACGAAAGUAAAUGCAGUUUAAUCUGCUGACUUGGGAUGCGUUGUCUCUUGUGGACGGCGCUGGACCAAGGUUUUAUCGCGAUCGCUUGCGGUGCGGUGAAAAUAGAGCGUAAACGGUGCGACCCGAAAGAUGGUGAACUAUGCCUGAGCAGGAUGAAGCCGGAGGAAACUCUGGUGGAAGUCCGAAGCGGUUCUGACGUGCAAAUCGAUCGUCUGACUUGGGUAUAGGGGCGAAAGACUAAUCGAACCAUC
rnacentral:rRNA from 1 species